GGCUGUUCUCAGGUGACACACCCCAGAAUCAGGCUCCCUCCUCUCUGCGUCACCCGAGAACCGCA
rfam:Myotis lucifugus cont2.6418, whole genome shotgun sequence.